GAUGAACGCUGGCGGCGUGCCUAAUACAUGCAAGUCGAGCGAACAGAUGAGGAGCUUGCUCCUCUGACGUUAGCGGCGGACGGGUGAGUAACACGUGGAUAACCUACCUAUAAGACUGGGAUAACUUCGGGAAACCGGAGCUAAUACCGGAUAAUAUAUUGAACCGCAUGGUUCAAUAGUGAAAGACGGUUUUGCUGUCACUUAUAGAUGGAUCCGCGUCGCAUUAGCUAGUUGGUAAGGUAACGGCUUACCAAGGCAACGAUGCGUAGCCGACCUGAGAGGGUGAUCGGCCACACUGGAACUGAGACACGGUCCAGACUCCUACGGGAGGCAGCAGUAGGGAAUAUUCCGCAAUGGGCGCAAGCCUGACGGAGCCACGCCGCGUGAGUGAUGAAGGUCUUCGGAUCGUAAAACUCUGUUAUUAGGGAAGAAAAAAUGUGUAAGUAACUAUGCACGUCUUGACGGUACCUAAUCAGAAAGCCACGGCUAACUACGUG
rnacentral:rRNA from 1 species